rnacentral:rRNA from 1 species
GACGAACGCUGGCGGCGUGCUUAACACAUGCAAGUCGAACGAAGAGCGAUGGAAGCUUGCUUCUAUCAAUCUUAGUGGCGAACGGGUGAGUAACGCGUAAUCAACCUGCCCUUCAGAGGGGGACAACAGUUGGAAACGACUGCUAAUACCGCAUACGAUCUGAUCUCGGCAUCGAGGAUAGAUGAAAGGUGGCCUCUACAUGUAAGCUAUCACUGAAGGAGGGGAUUGCGUCUGAUUAGCUAGUUGGAGGGGUAACGGCCCACCAAGGCGAUGAUCAGUAGCCGGUCUGAGAGGAUGAACGGCCACAUUGGGACUGAGACACGGCCCAGACUCCUACGGGAGGCAGCAGUGGGGAAUCUUCCGCAAUGGACGAAAGUCUGACGGAGCAACGCCGCGUGAGUGAUGACGGCCUUCGGGUUGUAAAGCUCUGUUAAUCGGGACGAAAGGCCUUCUUGCGAACAGUUAGAAGGAUUGACGGUACCGGAAGAGAAAGCCACGGCUAACUACGUG